rnacentral:rRNA from 1 species
GAUGAACGCUGGCGGCGUGCCUAAUACAUGCAAGUCGAGCGAACGGACGCGAAGCUUGCUUCUCUGGUCUUAGCGGCGAACGAGUGAGUAACACGUGGAUCACCUCCCUAUAAGACUGGGAUAACUUCGGGAAUCCUGCGCUAAUACCGGCGAAUAUUUUGAACCUCAUGGUUCAAAAGUGUAAGACGGUCUUGCUGUCACUCAUAGAUUGAUCCGCUCUGCAUUAGCUAGUUGGUAAGGUAACGGCUUACCAAGGCAACGAUGCAUAGCCGACCUGGGCGGGUGAUAGGCCACCCUGGAGCGUAGACGCGGACCAGGCUCCUGCGGGAGGGCGCAGUAGGGAAUGGUACGCAGUGGGCGAGAGCCUGACGGAGCAACGCCGCGUGAGUGACGACGGUCCUCGGAGCGUAAAACCCUGUUAUGAGGGAAGAACAUAUGUGUAAGUAACUGUGCACAAAUUGACGGUACCUAAUCAGAAAGCCACGGCUAACUACGUG